rnacentral:tRNA from 1 species
GCCGCCUUAGCUCAGUUGGUAGAGCGCCCCACUUGUAAUGGGAAGGUCGUCGGUUCGAUUCCGACAGGCGGCU